rnacentral:rRNA from 1 species
GGUAACACCGGCAGCCCGAGUGGUGAUCACUAUUAUUGGGUCUAAAGGGUCCGUAGCCGGUUUAAUCAGUCUUCUGGGAAAUCUAAUCGCUUAACUAUUAGGCUUCCAGGGGAUACUGUUAGACUUGGGACCGGGAGAGGUAAGAGGUACUGCAGGGGUAGGAGUGAAAUCUUGUAAUCCCUGUGAGACCACCAGUGGCGAAGGCGUCUUACCAGAACGGGUCCGACGGUGAGGGACGAAAGCUGGGGGCACGAACCGGAUUAGAUACCCGGGUAGUCCCAGCUGUAGACGAUGCUCGUUAGGUGUCAGGAACGGUGCGACUGUUUCUGGUGCCGAAGGGAAGCCGUGAAACGAGCCACCUGGGAAGUACGGCCGCAAGGCUGAAACUUAAAGGAAUUGGCGGGGGAGCACUACAACGGGUGGAGCCUGCGGUUUAAUUGGACUCAACGCCGGGAAACUCACCGGGGGCGACAGCAAUAUGUAGGUCAGGUUAAAGGUCUUACCUGAAUCGCUGAGAGGAGGUGCAUGGCCGUCGUCAGUUCGUACUGUGAAGCAUCCUGUUAAGUCAGGCAACGAGCAAGACCCGUGCCCACUGUUACCAGCAUAUCCUUUAUGGAUGAUGGGGACUCUGUGGGGACCGCUGCUGCUAAAGCAGAGGAAGGUGCGGGCUACGGUAGGUCAGUAUGCCCCGAAUCUCCCGGGCUACACGCGGGCUACAAUGGUUGGGACAAUGGGUAUCUACUCCGAAAGGAGUUGGCAAUCUCUUAAACCCAAUCGUAGUUCGAAUUGAGGGCUGUAACUCGCCCUCAUGAAGCUGGAAUCCGUAGUAAUCGCGUUUCAACAUAGCGCG